AUGGGCUCCCGGCGCUUAAAUCUGUGGCUUAAUCCUUUUGCAAAUAUGCAUUGGCCGGGAGAAAGGAGAGGAAGGCUGGCAAGGCAGAGCACAGAAUCUCUCCUCCUCCGUGUCUCUGCAAACUCCAGCAGCCCCGUCAGCCUCCUGCUUUUGUUUAGCUCAGGCUCAGGACUCCAGAAACAUAUACAGAAAAACCACAGCCUGAGAGGAGGAGGAGAAGGAGGAGGAGGACGAGGAGGAGAGAGGAGGGGGCCGAGGAAAGGGGGGAGGAGGGAGGCGGGGAAGGAGAGGAGGGCACUCGUAGCCCCGCCCCCUCCCCUGAUUGGUCAUUGGAGAAAAGACAGGCCCCUCCUCCCUCUACUUUCCUCCCUGCGCCUCCUCCUCGGCCUCCUUCGGCUCCUCCUCGCCCGGCGCCCUGUCAAUCAGAGUUCAGAGGUGGGCUGGGAAGGAGGCCGAGCUAACACCGAGUCUCCAGUCCUUAAAGGUGCAAUGAUACCGUAGCGCCGGCUCGGUAGAGGUACCAUCAGUUUGCCUCCUGUCUUAACAUCUGGCAUGUAAGAGAGAACUCUGACUGAGUCACGGUGGCCACAAGAUAAAAGAGCAUAUGAAUUGUUUCGGAAAAGGCAAGUAUAGUGUUUUGGAAUAUAAAAUAUUAUACUGUGUAGAUAGUCCUCUUCCUGGAUGACAGUGUAGCCAAAGGAAAUGCAUUGAACUUCUACAGACCUAAGUGUACUUCAUCUGCAAAAUAGAUUGUAACCUCAUCAGAUGUGUUGAGAUCCUCAACUAAAAUGUUAUUCUUUUCAUCAGUCCAACUUCCUUCCCAAUCAAUACCAAAAAAAACAAGUUUUGCAAGAUAAGGAGCUGAGCACUUCUCAAGCUCCUUGGUAUUCUUUGGCGUGGGGGCAUGCAGCAGGGAGUGUUAAUUGCAAUUCAGAUGUCAUAGGACUUGAAACAACUGUUCUAUCCACAUACAUACCCUAACUUGUUAAAUGGGUUUUUUAAUCAACACUAAUACUCUUCAAAUCACAUAUCAAUCACAGUGAACAUGAGUUAGCACAUACUUGACAAUGUGCUGAAGUUAUUGUGAUGAAGUUAUCACAUCUUAAAGCAUGAAGUAACCCACAGCCUAUAAGAAAUCAGUAUGAGCAAGUAAUUAGAAUUACUAAAAAUCUAAUAAAAGUUUACUAGAUAAUGUACUAGAAAAUGUACCACCAGUACCAUUGUCAUCUAGGAACAUUUUAGUAAGAAAAUAAAAAAUGUACACAACAAUAAUAUAAAUGAUAGUA
rnacentral:lncRNA from 1 species